rnacentral:misc_RNA from 1 species
ACCAGAAAAUUAAUCAAGCAUGUUGGAGAGAUGUGCUAAAAAAAAAUCAGCAAACUAGAAAAGAUGUGCUCCAAGAAAAUAAAUCAAAUCAAAAAAAUUUGAAGAGAUGAUGCUCCAACAUAACUCAAUUUGGAGUAUUCAGCAAAAAUGUCAAGAAGAAGUGUUGAAGCAUCCAAUACUAUUGCUUCAUCCUCCAAGUUCCAAGAAUUUAGUUUAUGCAUUGCUUCAUCCUCCAAGUUCCAAGAAUUUAGUUUAUGCAUUGCUUCAUCCUCCAAGUUCCAAGAAUUUAGUUUAUGC